rnacentral:rRNA from 1 species
ACUGCUUCAGUAACACGUGGACAACCUACCCUUAGGUCGGGGAUAAACCCGGGAAACUGGGUAUAAUACCCGAUAGUCCUCGGAUGCUGGAAUGCACCGAGGUCUAAAGCUCCGGCGCCUAAGGAUGGGUCUGCGACCUAUCAGGUAGUAGUGGGUGUAGCGUACCUACUAGCCUACGACGGGUACGGGUUGUGAGAGCAAGAGCCCGGAGAUGGAUUCUGAGACACGAAUCCAGGCCCUACGGGGUGCAGCAGGCGCGAAAACUUUACAAUGCUGGAAACAGCGAUAAGGGAACCUCGAGUGCCAGGUUACAAAUCUGGCUGUCGUGAUGCCUAAAAAGCAUUGCAUAGCAAGGGCCGGGCAAGACCGGUGCCAGCCGCCGCGGUAACACCGGCGGCUCGAGUGGUAACCGCUAUUAUUGGGUCUAAAGGGUCUGUAGCCGGCCGGAUAAGUCUUUUGGGAAAUCUGGCAGCUUAACUGUCAGGCUUUCAGAGGAUACUGUCUGGCUCGAGGCCGGGAGAGGUGAGAGGUACUUCAGGGGUAGGGGUGAAAUCUUGUAAUCCUUGAAGGACCACCAGUGGCGAAGGCGUCUCACCAGAACGGACCUGACGGCAAGGGACGAAAGCUAGGGGCACGAACCGGAUUAGAUACCCGGGUAGUCCUAGCCGUAAACGAUACUCGCUAGGUGUCGGCCACGGUGCGACCGUUGUCGGUGCCGUAGGGAAGCCGUGAAGCGAGCCACCUGGGAAGUACGGCCGCAAGGCUGAAACUUAAAGGAAUUGGCGGGGGAGCAC